UUGACCGUAAUCUUUACCACGCAGAUAAAUAACUGCUACUGUUCCUGGUUGCCGUCCCUGUUCCUUCCCUUCCUCUCUCUCUAGGCAGCACGCACACUCCGUCGGGGCGAUUUGGAGCGUUGUCGGGGGCACCCGCUGGUUGGGUCGGGUCGGCGGGGGGAGUGGUUGGGGCCUCAGCCUUCGUCUCGGCGCUACCGGCCGUGGCACGGGUUCGAGCGGCGGGGCUCCGGCCGCCGGCGCCCCGGCGAGGGGAGCGUCAGGGAGGCGAGGCGGCGCGAGCGGAAGCGGGGGAGGCGGGCGGCGAAGGCGCAGAGGGAGCGGCGGGCGCGGUCCUCGGGGAAGUAACGCUACCGAAGGCGGUUCCUUCCCUUGCCGCGGCACUGCUUCUCCUGGUGCGAGGUACUGGAGAUGCUCGUUGUCCCAGUCAGGGGCACCAUGCUGUUGGAGACGGCCGGACAGUGGCUAAACGACGGGAUGUAGCGGUUGCCACAGGCACCUCAGUGGUCGUUGGGUUGCUAAAAGGUCUUUCGGUAGAGAAGUAGUUUGCGCAUACUGCCAGUCAAGUUCCUCGAAUAUAGUCGACCCUUCCUACGCCUCUCGCGAAUGACCCUUGAGCAGUAUUUCCUAUAGGUUCUGCGCACGUUUGACAAACUCGGGUAGAUACUGCUCUGGCUACCUCGACUACCAAUGCAAAGUCACCUCCACAGAGGAUCCAACCGUUUACUGUGGGUUCCUUGGCAACUUCGACGCUUCACCAAUGUGUUUCACCAGUUGGCGGGGUUACACAUAUAGUUCUAGGGUCGAUGACGUCUUACGCAAGGAAGAUAGUUCCUUCAGUAACGAUUACCGUAGUCGCAGUUACAAUGAGAAUAGAAGAGGCAACGUUCUAUGCUCCGACACUAACUACGAAUGGAGCUGCCCGAACUCCGAAGACCAAACUCGCUGAACAGGGCUCACUGGUCGCACCGUAGGAAGAAACAGUCGGCUCAACUGUCAGACUAGCUGUUUUACGAACUCUUCUAACCUUGUGGCCUCCGAGAACGGGACUCCCCUUUCCGACGGCAUCGUGUUCGUUUCUAUCGUUUGGUCGAAAUGGACUUCUUUAAGAGACCGGGCUCCACCCUCCGAAACCACUUCUUCCCUCGGUUCUUCGUCUCCAACAACACCCGUAGGUGGUCGCACUUCUUGGGCCGAAUGAACCUGUGAGAAAUGCAGCUAGGAGAGUAGCCUGGACUGUGGCAGAGAUGCUACGGGCUGGUUCGAGACCUGCGCAAGUAGCUGGUGCCGUGUCAACGAUCCUGUUAGCUGCGAUUGCACAGUCUUCGACUCCCGUAUAUGUCACGGGACCUCUUCGACCCGUAGCUGACCCUUCUCCAACCGUUCGUCGACCUCGUGCUCCCCCACUCGAGGAAGUUCCCCUCGAAGCUGUCGGACGAGUGCUCGAACCUCCUCUUCCCGUUGCGGGAGUUCUGACGGCGGUUGGACAUCCGCGAUUUUAAUAGCCUAUCUUACCAAACCAUGGCCGCGACCGGUAGUUUGCUAAUGGCUUAUUUUUACGGUCGAACGACCGAGAGAGGAAGGUAAACCUUUACUUUACGAGGGUCAAUAGACCCACUCGAACGAAGAACAUAAGAUCCGCACGGACCGACAGUAACACAUUGACUCCGGACAACGAACGUUGACGAUAAGC
rnacentral:rRNA from 1 species